AUUGAACGCUGGCGGCAGGCCUAACACAUGCAAGUCGAGCGAGCGGCGGACGGGUGCGUAAUGCCUGGGAAUUGCCCAGUCGAGGGGGAUAACAGUUGGAAACGACUGCUAAUACCGCAUACGAUUGGAUUGCCCAGGUGGGAUUAGCUAGUGGGUGAGGUAAUGGCUCACCAAGGCGACGAUCCCUAGCUGGGCUGAUAGGGUGAGCGGCCACACUGGAACUGAGACACGGUCCAGACUCCUACGGGAGGCAGCAGUGGGGAAUCUUGCGCAAUGGGGGAAACCCUGAAGCAGCCAUGCCGCGUGUGUGAAGAAGGCCUUCGGGUUGUAAAACACUGUCGGCGAGGAGGCGUUACCCGCAGAGAAAGCACCGGCUAACUCCGUGCCAGCCGCCGCGGUAAUAC
rnacentral:rRNA from 1 species